UGCCUUUUAUAUUUCUUUUAGAAUUUUUCUAAGCCUUUUUUAACAUUUUAUGUGCAAAUGACAUAAAAUGUUAAUCUUUAGUCUGAAUCCUUGUAGUAUUAGCAUUCAUUGUGCAAUGUAAGGCUGUCUUUGUGCUUGCAAUGCAUUUAAUUCAAUUGGUUGACUUAGUAAGAAGCUUGAAUUUAUUUAUUUAUUCAUAAAUAUAUCACCAAUAAUAAAAAAAUUAAAGCCUAUGCUGCCAAAGAAACACUCUUAAAUAUCAUAACCAUGUAUGUUAUGCAUUUUGGAUAUUUUUUACCUUUGGGUUUAGUUUCUGUUGGCUUCUCCACUUCGGCUUCGACAGAAGGUUUGGUUAUUUUCUUUUCAUAUGGGACCUCCUUUUCCUUCUCCAGUUUCUUUAUCUUUUCUGGUUUUUCUUCAGCUUGAACCACCUUCUCCGCCAUCUUUGCCUUCACUGGUUUUUGUUCAGGUGGGACCACUUUCUCCUCCGGUUUCUUUGUUAUCUCUGGUUUCUCUACUGAUGGAACAACCUUUUCCUUCUCCAGUUUUGUUAUCUUUACUGGUUUUUGUUCAGGUGGGACCACUUUAUCCUCCAGUUUCUUUGCCUUCUCUGGUUUUUCCUCAGGUAGAAUCACCUUUUCUGGUUUCUUUUCCUUUACUGGUUUUUCUUCAGGUGGGACCACUUUCUCUUCUGGCUUCUUUGCCUUCUCUGGUUUUUCCUCAGGUUGGACCAUCUUCUCUGGCUUCUUUUCCUUCACGAUUUUUUUUUCAGGUGGGACCACUUUCUCUUCUGGUUUCUCUGCCAUCUCUGGUUUUUCUACUGAUGGAACCACCUUUUCCUUCUCCAGUUUUGUUAUUUUCACUGGUUUUUCUUCAGAUGGGACCACUUUCUUCUCUGGCUUCUUUGCCUUCUCUGGUUUUUCCUCAGGUUGGACCAUCUUCUCUGGCUUCUUUUCCCUCACGAUUUUUUCUUCAGGUGGGACCACUUUCUCUUCUGGUUUCUUUGCUAUCUCUGGUUUUACUACUGAUGGAACCACCUUUUCCUUCUCCAGUUUUGUUAUCUUCACUGGUUUUUCUUCAGAUGGGACCACUUUCUUCUCUGGCUUUUUUGCCUUCUCUGGUUUUUCCUCAGGUCGAACGACCUUCUCUGGCUCCUUUGCCUUCAAUGGUUCUUCUUCAGGUGGUACCACUUUCUCCUCUGGCUUCUUUUCCUUUACUGGUUUUUCUUCAGGUGGGACCACUUUCUCUUCUGGUUUCUUUGCUAUCUCUGGUUUUUCUACUGAUGGAACCACCUUUUCCUUCUCCAGUUUUGUUAUCUUCUCUGGUUUUUCCUCAGGUUGAACCAUUUUCUCUGGCUUCUUUGCCUUCACUGGUUCUUCUUCAGGUGGGACCACUUUCUCCUCUGGCUUCUUUUCCUUUACUGGUUUUUCUUCAGGUUGAACCAUUUUCUCUGGCUUCUUUGCCUUCACUGGUUCUUCUUCAGGUGGGACCACUUUCUCCUCUGGCUUCUUUUCCUUUACUGGUUUUUCUUCAGGUGGGACCACUUUCUCUUCUGGUUUCUUUGCCUUCUCUGGUUUUUCUACUGAUGGAACCACUUUUUCCUUCUCCAGUUUCUUUAUUGUCACUGGUUUUUCUUUAGGUUGAAUCACCUUCUCUGGCUUCUUUUCCUUCCCUGUUUUUUCCUUAGGUGGGACCAUUUUCACUUCUGGUUUCUUUGCCUUCUGUGGUUUUUCCUCAGGUUGGACCAGCUUCUCCUCUGACCUCUUUUCCUUCACCGUUUUUUCUUCAGGUGGGACCACUUUCUCUUCUGAUUUCUUUGCUUUCGUUAGUUUUUCCUCAGGUCGAACCACCUUCUCUGGCUUCUUUGCCUUCACUGGUUUUCCUUCAGGUAGGAUCACUUUCUCCUUUGGUUUCUUUGCCUUUUCUGGUUUUUCUUUAGAUUGAACCACCUUCUCUGGCUGCUUUGCUUUCACUGGUUUUUCUUCACGUGGGAGCAAUUUCUCCUCUGGCUUCUUUGCCUUCUCUGGUUUUUCCUCAGGUCGAACCACCUUCUCUGGCUUCUUUGCCUUCUCUGGCUUAUCGCCAAGUGCGACCACCUUCUCUGGCUUUGCAGGUUUUUUCUCAGGUGGGACCAAUUUCUCCUCGUCUGGCUUUUUUGCUUUCUCAGAUUUCUCUUCAGCCGAAACUCGUUUCUCCUUCUCUGGCUUCUUUGCCUUCACUUGGUAUUCCUCAGGUAGGGCAACCUUCUCUUUUGAUUUCUCUGCCCUUUCCAGUUUUUCUGCAGGUGGGACUACCUUCUCCUUCAUUGGUCUCUUUGGUUUCUCUAGUUUUUCUUCAGGUGGAACCACUUCCUCCUCUGGUUUCUUUGCUUUCUUUAGUUUUUCCUCAGGUUGGACUACCUUAUCUGGCUUUUUGGUCCGUUUUUCCUCAGGUUGGACCACUUUCUCUUCUGGUUUCUUUAGCAUCUCUGGUUUUUCUUCAGGUUGGAAAACUUUCUCUUCUGGUUUCUUUGGCUUUUCUAGUUUUCCCUCAGGUCGAACUACCUUCUCUGGUUUUUUUUCCUUCAGUGGUUUUUUUUUCACGUGGGACCACUUUCUCCUCUGGCUUCUUUUCCUUCACUGGUUUUUCCUCAGAUGAUACCACCUUCUUCUUCUCAGUUUUUUUUUCCUUUUCUGAUUUUUUCUCAGGUGGGACCACUUUCUCCUUCUCUGGCAUCUUUGCCCUCACUGGUUGUUCUUCAGGUUGGAUCACUUCUUCCUUUACUGGCUUUUUGGCUUUCUCUGGUUUUUCCUCAGAUAGAACCAUCUUUUCCUUCUCUGGUUUCUUUACCUUCUCUGUUUCUUCCUCAGGUGGGAGCACCUUCUCUUUUUGCUCUGUUUCCUUCUCUGGUUUUUCCUCAGGUGAUACCACCUUCCUUUCUGCCUUCUUUGUCCUCACUGGUUUUUCUUCAGGUGGGACCCUUGUUGCUUCUGCUGGUUGUUUUGCCUUCUUUGGUUUUUCCUCAGAUGGAACCAUUUGCUUUUUCUCUGGUUUCUUUAUCUUCUCUGAUUUUUCCUUAGGUGGGACCACCUUCUCCUUUUGCACCAUUUCCUUCUCUGGUUUUUCCUCAGGUAGGUCCGCCUUCUUCUUCUCUGGCUUCUUUGCCUUCUCUAGUCUUUCAUCAGGUGGGACCACCUUCUCUUUCUCUGGCUUUUUGACCUUCUCUGGUUUUUCUUCAGGUGGGACCAUUGUUUCUGUUGCUAGUUUUUUUGCCUUCUCUGAUUUUUUCUCAGAUGGGACCACUUUCUCCUUGUCUGGUUUCUUUACCUUUUUUGGUUUUUCCUCAGGUGGGGCUAUCUUUUCCUUUUGCUUCUUUUCCCUCUCUGGCUUUUCCUGAGGUGGGACCAUCUUCUCCUUUUGCUCCUUUUCCUUCUCUAGUUUUUCCUCAGGUGGGACCAUCUUGUCCUUCUCUGGUUUCUUUAUCCUCUCAGGUUUUUCCUUAAAUCGCGCCACCUUGUCUUUCUUUAAUUCUUUUGCUUUCUCUGGUUUCUCUUCAGAUGGAACCACCUUUUCCUUCUUUUUUUCCUGAAAUAGGAUGACUUUGUCUUUCUCUGGUUUCUUUGCCUUCUCUGUUUUUUCCUUAUGAGGGACUACCAUCUCCUUCUCCUGUUUCUUUGGAGGCAUCUUCUUUUCUUCUGCUGUAAUUUGUUUCUCCAGUUCUUUGUCAUGUUUGAUGUCAAUCAGAGAAAAAAAAAUUAAUUUAAUCUGAAUUAAACAUAAUCAGUUUGUUUUUCUCUUGAGUUCAGCCAUACUCCUUUCACCUUUGAGUUUAGUCUCUGAUGAAUUUUCCACUUUGAGUUGAAAAGUAAUUUUGACUUUUUGUGUUUUCUUGGAUUUUUCUUUUUUUUUUCUAGCUCUUUCUGAGCUUUCACAUUGUUCUUGGGUAUGAUCAAGUAUACAUGAACUUUUGUAAUAUUUCUAAAACAAUUUUUAUUCAUUCUUAUUUAGUUUGCAAAUAUGGAUUUUUACUCAGUCGUGUUGUGAUAAAACACUUUGGCAAACAGAUAGCCUGCAUGUGGUUUUAUGGGUUUGUGAGACAAACAGCAGUUUCACUGAAAUUAUACUAAAUUUUAUCUAUGUUGCAGGAUAUAGGCACAUAGGAGGCAGAAAGGUGGGUACAGCUGGUACCUCACAGUUCCUGAGUCUUUUAGUGAAUAUGGGAUUUUUGUCUUCUUCAGGGUAUGCUAUAUUUGUAUGUUCUCUUUGUGUUUGCAUCCCUUAGACAUACACAGAUGAAGGAAAUGGCAAACCACUUCCAUUCUCAACCUUUCCUUGGACACCAUGUGAGUGGUUGCUAUGACUCGAUGGCACUUCCAUCCAUUAAUCAUUGCUAACUAUAUACCUGAAGGUACUACACAACUGCCCCAAUGAAAUAUUCAGCCUUAUAAAUUGCUAAAAUUUGUACUGAAGUGUCAAUUAAAAAAAAAAAAAUUGUUCUUCUUACCCUUGAGUUCAGCCUGUGGUGGUUUCUCCACUAUAAAUUCUACAGUUGGUUUCACUUUUUCUAUGACCUUCUGAACUUCCUCUUCUUCUGACUUCUCAGGUUUUGUAGGCCUUUUUUCUUUUCUGUCUUCCUGGUCCUGGGCAGGUUUUCUGAACCAUAUAUCUGUAGGUACCAGUAAGCUUGUGUUAGUUUAUUUCAUGGUGGGUACAGGGAACUGAAAGCUGUGCACCUUUACUUUUAAUUUAGCAUUACACUAUAGGGAUGUUUCAUGAGUAUUCUGCUUGUAUUACCAGAGUUCCCUAAGUACAAACAAAAUACAUACAUUGUUUUAAGAUUGCAUUUUGAAUGUUGAAUCAACAGCUUUUUCACUUCUGAUAUCUAUGCAUAAACUGUAUUCUUAAAAUUUGUAUUUACAGAAAGACCUAAAUCAAUUUAUUUUUCAUCAUCUCAAGGAACUAAUGUGUACAAGCUGUAUAAAAUGGUUUAUUAAUUUUUACACACAGAAAGCAUAUUACCAUCAACUAUCAUACCACAGUAAAGUGUAAAAAUUUAAAUGUCAAUUAUAACUGGACAUUAUUCAAAUUCAUAUUUGACUGGUUUUCGAAUUUUCCCUUUUAGCCCUUUUAGACUUAAAUAAACAUCAACUUGCAUUCA
rnacentral:lncRNA from 1 species